CAAAAGAUGAGGUAGAGGUCUUGGAAGAUGAAUUUCAUGAUUUAGUUAUACGUCAAGCAGCAACAGGUGGUGGAAGUUCAAGCUCAAGCAAAGGUAUCUCAAUUAACAUUGAUGACUAAUCAAAAACUGGGAGGAAGGACACACAUUUUGUAUAGGAGGCAGAUUUUUGGAUGCAAUUUGGAAGUUUUUUUGGACAGUGCUUUUCUAACUGAUAAUUGAUAAAUUAACUCUUGCUUAUAGGAAAGAAAACUUAUUAAGUUUAAUAGGCUUUCUUUUCUAUAAGUCAUGGACUAAACUCUAUAUAGUAGUUGCUCUUUAAAUGUUUUAGAAAAGCUAUUUUUUGGAAGUUUGUAACUAAUUAUAGCUAGCUA